UUCAUGGAGAGUUUGAUCCUGGCUCAGGACGAACGCUGGCGGCGUGCCUAAUACAUGCAAGUCGAGCGGACCGACGGGAGCUUGCUCCCUUAGGUCAGCGGCGGACGGGUGAGUAACACGUGGGUAACCUGCCUGUACGACUUGGGCAACCUCGGGCAACCUUGGUGAAUCCCGCAGUCCUGGUUGAACCGUCUGGUGCACGCAUAAAAGGUCCCCGUUCUUCUCCUCUUCCAAGUUGACUCGUGGUGGCUUGUGUAAG
rnacentral:rRNA from 1 species